AAAUGAAGUGGAGAAGCAGACUCUGAGGGCUUUGCAGUCCAGGCACCUUGGAGGAGGAAUAUCUGGCACCAAAUUUGUGUAGAUCAGUGGGUGUUUACUGAGACUGGACUAUUUUUCAGAAGACAGGACUUUUGUCAAUAUUUGAACCCUAAAGAUGCCAGUUUGCAAAUUGAUAUUUUCUUUACGUGUAUAUUUUACAAAAUUAUAGAAAAUGCAAAGGAUAAUUUUCCUGUCCUGCUUUCACAGAAAAAUGUAAGUGACCCAUGAUGUAACUAUUAAUUAUUCCCACA
rnacentral:lncRNA from 1 species